rnacentral:rRNA from 1 species
AGGUAGUAACAGAGGGUUCGAUUCUGGCUCAGAUUGAACGCUGGCGGGAUGCUUUUACACAUGCAAGUCGAACGGCAGCACGGACUUCGGUCUGGUGGCGAGUGGCGAACGGGUGAGUAAUGUAUCGGAACGUGCCUUAGUAGCGGGGAUAAUUCACGAAAGGUAGCCAAUAAUGCAUACGCCCUUCGGGGGAAAGCGGGGACCUUUCGGGCCUCGCACUAUUAGAGCGGCCGAUAUCGGAUUAGCCAGUUGCGGGGUAACGGCUCACCAAGGCGACGAUCCGUAGCUGGUUUGAGAGGACGACCAGCCACACUGGGACUGAGACACGGCCCAGACUCCUACGGAGCGUUGCGGGGAAUUUGGACAAUGGGGGAAACCCUGAUCCAGCCAUCCCGCGCGUGUGCGAUGAAGGCCUCGGGUUGUAAAGCACUUGGCAGGAAAAGAAACGCACGGGAUACAAUACCUCCCGUGCAACUGACGGUACCUGCAGAAUAAGCACCGGCUAACUAUGCCAGCAGCCGCGGUAAUAUAGGUGCAAGCGUUAAUCGGAAUUACUGGGCGCAGCGUGCGCAGGCGGUCGGAAAGAAAGAUGUGAAAUCCCAGAGCUUAACUUUGAACUGCAUUUUUAACUACCGAGCUAGAGUGUGUCAGAGGAGGUGGAAUUCCGCGUGUAGCAGGAAUGCGUAGAUAUGCGGAGGAACACCGAUGGCGAAGUGCAGCCUCCUGGGAUAACACUGACGCUCAUGCACGAAAGCGUGGGGAGCAAACAGGAUUAGAUACCCUGGUAGUCCACGCCCUAAACGAUGUCAACUAGCUGUUGGGGCCUUCGGGCCUUGGGAAGUGCAGCUAAUCGCAGUGAAGUUGACCGCCUGGGGAGUAUGGUCGCAAGAUUGAAACUCAAAGGAAUUGACGGAUUCCGCACAAGCGGUGGAUGAUGUGGAUUAAUUCGACGUAACGCGGAAAACUCAUCAGUCUUUGAUAUGUCUGGAAUCCCGAAGAGAUUUGGGAGUGCCUGCAAGAGAACCGGAACACAGGUGCUGUAUGGCUGUCGUCAAAGCCGUGUUAUGAGAUGUUGGGUUAAGUCCUGCAACGAGUGCAACCCUGAUAUUAGUUGCUACGAAAGGGCACUGACGAGACUGCCGGUGACAAACCGGAGGAAGGAUGACGUCAAGUCCUCAUGGCCCUUAUAGGCUUCACGUCAUACAAUGUCGGGACAGAGGGUCGCCAACCCGCGAUUAAUCCCAGAAAACCCGAUCAGUCCGGAUCGCAGUUGCCCCGUGUUCCGACUGCGUGAAGUCGGAAUCAUAGUACCCGUGAUCAGCAUGUCGCGGUGAAUACGUUCCCGGUCUUGUACACACCGCCCGUCACACCAUGGGAGUGGGUUUUACCAGAAGUAGUUAGCCUAACCGGGUGAGGGCGAUUACCACGGUAGGAUUCAUGACUGGGGUGAAGUCAACAAGGUAG